rnacentral:rRNA from 1 species
UCCAGACUCCUACGGGAGGCAGCAGUGGGGAAUAUUGCACAAUGGGGGAAACCCUGAUGCAGCAACGCCGCGUGAGUGAAGAAGUAUUUCGGUAUGUAAAGCUCUAUCAGCAGGGAAGAAGAUGACGGUACCUGAUUAAGAAGCCCCGGCUAACUACGUGCCAGCAGCCGCGGUAAUACGUAGGGGGCAAGCGUUAUCCGGAUUUACUGGGUGUAAAGGGAGCGUAGACGGUUAUGUAAGUCUGGAGUGAAAGCCCGGGGCCCAACCCCGGGACUGCUUUGGAAACUGUGUAACUGGAGUACAGGAGGGGCAGGCGGAAUUCCUGGUGUAGCGGUGAAAUGCGUAGAUAUUAGGAGGAACACCAGUGGCGAAGGCGGCUUACUGGACUGUAACCGACGUUGAGGCUCGAAAGCGUAGGGAGCAAACAGGAUUAGAUACCCCAGUA